AGUGGCGGACGGGUGAGUAACGCGUGAGAAUCUGCCUUGGGGUCGGGGACAACCACUGGAAACGGUGGCUAAUACCGGAUAAGCCGAUUGGUGAAAGAUUUAUUGCCCGAAGAGGAGCUCGCGUCUGAUUAGCUAGUUGGUGAGGUAAGAGCUCACCAAGGCAGCGAUCAGUAGCUGGUCUGAGAGGACGAUCAGCCACACUGGGACUGAGACACGGCCCAGACUCCUACGGGAGGCAGCAGUGGGGAAUUUUCCGCAAUGGGCGAAAGCCUGGCGGAGCAAGACCGCGUGAGGGAGGAAGGCUCUUGGGUUGUAAACCUCUUUUCUCAGGGAAGAAGCUCUGACGGUACCUGAGGAAUCAGCCUCGGCUAACUCCGUGCCAGCAGCCGCGGUAAUACGGAGGAGGCAAGCGUUAUCCGGAAUUAUUGGGCGUAAAGCGUCCGCAGGUGGCGAUUCAAGUCUGCUGUCAAAGCACGGGGCUUAACUCCGUAAAGGCAGUGGAAACUGAAUAGCUAGAGUGCCGUAGGGGUAGAGGGAAUUCCCGGUGUAGCGGUGAAAUGCGUAGAGAUCGGGAAGAACAUCGGUGGCGAAAGCGCUCUACUGGACGGCAACUGACACUCAGGGACGAAAGCUAGGGGAGCGAAUGGGAUUAGAUACCCC
rnacentral:rRNA from 1 species